GAUCCUGGCUCAGGAUGAACGCUAGCGACAGGCCUAACACAUGCAAGUCGAGGGGCAGCGAAGAGGUAGCAAUACCUUUGCCGGCGACCGGCGCACGGGUGAGUAACGCGUAUCCAACCUGCCUACCACUUGGGGAUAACCUUGCGAAAGUAAGACUAAUACCCAAUGACAUCCCACGAAGACAUCUGAAUGGGAUUAAAGAUUUAUCGGUGAUGGAUGGGGAUGCGUCUGAUUAG
rnacentral:rRNA from 1 species